GGUUAAGCGACUAAGCGUACACGGUGGAUGCCCUGGCAGUCAGAGGCGAUGAAGGGCGUGCUAAUCUGCGAUAAGCGCCGGUAAGGUGAUAUGAACCGUUAUAACCGGCGAUACCCGAAUGGGGAAACCCAGUGUGAUUCGUCACACUAUCAUUAACUGAAUCCAUAGGUUAAUGAGGCGAACCGGGGGAACUGAAACAUCUAAGUACCCCGAGGAAAAGAAAUCAACCGAGAUUCCCCCAGUAGCGGCGAGCGAACGGGGAGGAGCCCAGAGCCUGAAUCAGCAUGUGUGUUAGUGGAAGCGUCUGGAAAGACGCGCGAUACAGGGUGACAGCCCCGUACACAAAAGCG
rnacentral:rRNA from 1 species